AGCGAAACGGGAAGAGCCCAAACCAACAAGCUUGCUUGUUGGGGUUGUAGGACACUCUAUACGGAGUUACAAAGGACGACAUUAGACGAAUCAUCUGGAAAGAUGAAUCAAAGAAGGUAAUAAUCCUGUAGUCGAAAAUGUUGUCUCUCUUGAGUGGAUCCUGAGUACGACGGAGCACGUGAAAUUCCGUCGGAAUCUGGGAGGACCAUCUCCUAAGGCUAAAUACUCUCUAGUGACCGAUAGUGAACCAGUACCGUGAGGGAAAGGUGAAAAGCACCCCGGAAGGGGAGUGAAAUAGAACCUGAAACCGUGUGCUUACAAGUAGUCAGAGCCCGUUAAUGGGUGAUGGCGUGCCUUUUGUAGAAUGAACCGGCGAGUUACGAUUUGAUGCAAGGUUAAGCAGUAAAUGUGGAGCCGUAGCGAAAGCGAGUCUGAAUAGGGCGUUUAGUAUUUGGUCGUAGACCCGAAACCAGGUGAUCUACCCUUGGUCAGGUUGAAGUUCAGGUAACACU
rnacentral:rRNA from 1 species